rnacentral:tmRNA from 4 species
GGGGAUGUAAAGGUUUCGACGGGGAUUUCAAACCUUGGUAAGCGAGCGGCGGUGCGGAACCGCCAUAAAAUCCGCAACUUUAAAAUUAACUGACAACAAAACAGUUGCUUUAGCAGCCUGAGUGCUGCUCGUUCCUGCACAGAGUACCUCGGCUGUGUAAGGGGCGUCGAUUAGAGGUAAAUGUGAACAGGGGAGCGCUCCGAACCCUGUCACAGCUUAGGAGCUGCCAAAGUGCAUAGCCUGUUGAUGGGCGAUGCACCGAGGGAGAUUUAAAACACCAACUGCGCUCGGAGAAACCCUUGGCAAGAUUUUUUCGGACAGGGGUUCGAUUCCCCUCAUCUCCACCA